rnacentral:rRNA from 1 species
AGCGAACGCUGGCGGAAGGCCUAACACAUGCAAGUCGAACGAAGUCUUCGGACUUAGUGGCGGACGGGUGAGUAACACGUGGGAACGUGCCUUUAGGUUCGGAAUAACUCAGGGAAACUUGUGCUAAUACCGAAUGUGCCCUUCGGGGGAAAGAUUUAUCGCCUUUAGAGCGGCCCGCGUCUGAUUAGCUAGUUGGUGAGGUAAAGGCUCACCAAGGCUACGAUCAGUAGCUGGUCUGAGAGGAUGGCCAGCCACAUUGGGACUGAGACACGGCCCAAACUCCUACGGGAGGCAGCAGUGGGGAAUCUUGUGCAAUGGGCGAAAGCCUGACGCAGCCAUGCCGCGUGGAUGAUGAAGGUCUUAGGAUUGUAAAAUCCUUUCACCGGUGAAGAUAAUGACUGUAGCCGGAGAAGAAGCCCCGGCUAACUUCGUGCCAGCCGCCGCCGUAAUAC